AUUGAACGCUGGCGGCAGGCCUAACACAUGCAAGUCGAACGAGCGGCGGACGGGUGAGUAAUGUCUGGGGAUCUGCCUGAUGGAGGGGGAUAACUACUGGAAACGGUAGCUAAUACCGCAUACCAUCGGAUGUACCCAUAUGGGAUUAGCUAGUCGGUGGGGUAACGGCUCACCUAGGCGACGAUCUCUAGCUGGUCUGAGAGGAUGACCAGCCACACUGGAACUGAGACACGGCCCAGACUCCUACGGGAGGCAGCAGUGGGGAAUAUUGCACAAUGGGCGCAAGCCUGAUGCAGCCAUGCCGCGUGUAUGAAGAAGGCCUUAGGGUUGUAAAGUACUUUCAGCGGGGAGGCGUUACCCGCAGAAGAAGCACCGGCUAACUCCGUGCCAGCAGCCGCGGUAAUUC
rnacentral:rRNA from 1 species